GUGCUCCCUUCCGCAGCACAUAUACCAAAAUCGGAACAACACCAAGGUUAGCAUGGCCCCUGCACAAGCACGACACACAAAUUAGUGAAGCAAUCCAUGAUCUU